CUCCCACUGUGGGGGUUCUCACCCUGCAGAGCACUGCUUUAAGAAAGGGAAACCACGGUCCAAGGAGGAUGAAGUUUUGGAGGACUCCAGUAAGCGUGGCAAUGAAGCUACCAUGGUUAAGUCAGUAUUCCAGAGUUAGGGAGAGAGAGGAGUUAUGGGAUUAUUUUUCACGGGGUUUCUGGAUUCCGUUUGUUCAGUCAGUUUUCUCAUUACUUACUCAUUGGUAAUAGGAAAAGAAGAAAUCCUGGCUGACAAAUUGGCAAAUGAGAUUGAGUUGAGUCAAAUGGCAUGUCUUUUUGAUAGACCUUUGUUUGUCAGUUUGCAAGUUUCACCAUUGGGUCUGGUGCCUAAAAAGAAACCCCACGGGACUAAUUCAUCACUCGUCAUACCUGUCUGGGUGGGAUGGGGUUGGUAAACAAUGAAAGUUGCGUCACGCAUCUUUUCGAAAUGGGGUGGGAGAGUCCAAAUAAUCAGGUGGAAAAGGGUUCUAUGGUCUGGAAUUGUGCCAUGGUGGGGUUCCUCUGUCUGUGCUGCUGUUGCUUUGGCAGUUCCUGCAAAACUCUAGCAGUUUCUCUAGUUGCACUGUUGAUACAUGCUGACAUG